CAGUCGCCGCGGGAAUACGGAGGGUGCAAGCGUUAAUCGGAAUUACUGGGCGUAAAGCGCACGCAGGCGGUCUGUCAAGUCGGAUGUGAAAUCCCCGGGCUCAACCUGGGAACUGCAUUCGAUACUGGGAAGCUAGAGUAUGGGAGAGGAUGGUAGAAUUCCAGGUGUAGCGGUGAAAUGCGUAGAGAUCUGGAGGAAUACCGAUGGCGAAGGCAGCCAUCUGGCCUAAUACUGACGCUGAGGUACGAAAGCAUGGGGAGCAAACAGGAUUAGAUACCCCAGUAGUCCCUGUCUCUUAUAC
rnacentral:rRNA from 1 species